rnacentral:tRNA from 1 species
AUCUUUUUAGUAUAAAAAUUAUAUUUGACUUCCAAUCAAAAGAUCUUAUCCUAAGAAAAGAUA